AGAGUUUGAUCCUGGCUCAGGAUGAACGCUAGCGACAGGCUUAACACAUGCAAGUCGAGGGGCAGCACAGGUAGCAAUACCGGGUGGCGACCGGCGCACGGGUGAGUAACGCGUAUGCAACUUACCUAUCAGAGGGGGAUAACCCGGCGAAAGUCGGACUAAUACCGCAUGAAGCAGGGGCCCCGCAUGGGGAUAUUUGCUAAAGAUUCAUCGCUGAUAGAUAGGCAUGCGUUCCAUUAGGCAGUUGGCGGGGUAACGGCCCACCAAACCGACGAUGGAUAGGGGUUCUGAGAGGAAGGUCCCCCACAUUGGUACUGAGACACGGACCAAACUCCUACGGGAGGCAGCAGUGAGGAAUAUUGGUCAAUGGGCGUAAGCCUGAACCAGCCAAGUCGCGUGAGGGAUGAAGGUUCUAUGGAUCGUAAACCUCUUUUAUAAGGGAAUAAAGUGCGGGACGUGUCCCGUUUUGUAUGUACCUUAUGAAUAAGGAUCGGCUAACUCCGUGCCAGCAGCCGCGGUAAUACGGAGGAUCCGAGCGUUAUCCGGAUUUAUUGGGUUUAAAGGGAGCGUAGAUGGAUGUUUAAGUCAGUUGUGAAAGUUUGCGGCUCAACCGUAAAAUUGCAGUUGAUACUGGAUAUCUUGAGUGCAGUUGAGGCAGGCGGAAUUCGUGGUGUAGCGGUGAAAUGCUUAGAUAUCACGAAGAACUCCGAUUGCGAAGGCAGCUCACUGGACUGCAACUGACACUGAUGCUCGAAAGUGUGGGUAUCAAACAGGAUUAGAUACCCUGGUAGUCCACACAGUAAACGAUGAAUACUCGCUGUUUGCGAUAUACAGUAAGCGGCCAAGCGAAAGCAUUAAGUAUUCCACCUGGGGAGUACGCCGGCAACGGUGAAACUCAAAGGAAUUGACGGGGGCCCGCACAAGCGGAGGAACAUGUGGUUUAA
rnacentral:rRNA from 1 species